rnacentral:tRNA from 1 species
GGCGAGGUAGCUCAGUCGGUAGAGCAGUGGACUGAAAAUCCUCGUGUCGAGAGUUCGAUUCUCCCCCUCGCCACCA